UGGCUUCCAAGCCUCACUUCUUCAACCCCUUCACCAAUCCUUCUGCAGCAUGUUGAAUAUUGUAAUUAAUUUUUCAUUUUUCAGGGCAAAGAUGAAAAAAAGAAAAAAAAAAAGAAAAAAAAACGAGUUCCACCCCACAACCUUUGUAUUUUUUUGGUUGAGGGAUACGUACCUGUGAACUAAGAUAGUGAAAGGUUUAAGGCGAGUUCCACCCCACAACCUUUGUAUUUUUUUGGUUGAGGGAUACGUACCUGUGAACUAAGAUAGUGAAAGGUUUAAGGGUGUAAGUAAUGAAUACCGUAGAUAUUAAUUAGUAGCAGAACAACAAAAUUAUCUUUUAAUUUUCUUUCUUUCUUUUUUCCUUUACUGUAUGUGAAUGAAACUUUUAUAGAAUACAUC
rnacentral:lncRNA from 1 species